rnacentral:rRNA from 1 species
GACGAACGCUGGCGGCGUGCUUAACACAUGCAAGUCGAACGAAGUGGCGAACGGGUGAGUAAUACGUGAGUAACCUGCCCUCCUUUUUGGGAUAAGCCUUGGAAACGGGGUCUAAUACCGAAUAAAGGGGGAUGGGCUCGCGGCCUAUCAGCUUGUUGGUGGGGUGAUGGCCUACCAAGGCGGUGACGGGUAGCCGGCCUGAGAGGGUGACCGGCCACAUUGUGACUGAGGUACGGCCCAGACUCCUACGGGAGGCAGCAGUGGGGGAUAUUGCACAAUGGGCGAAAGCCUGAUGCAGCGACGCCGCGUGGGGGAUGAAGGCUUUCGGGUUGUAAAACUCUGUUAUUAGGGAAGCGGUACCUAAUCAGAAAGCCACGGCUAACUCCGUGCCAGCAGCCGCGGUAAUAC